rnacentral:rRNA from 1 species
AUUGAACGCUGGCGGCAUGCCUUACACAUGCAAAUCGAACGGUAACGGGCCUUCGGGUGCCGACGAGUGGCGAACGGGUGAGUAAUACAUCGGAACGUGCCCGAUCGUGGGGGAUAACGAGGCGAAAGCUUUGCUAAUACCGCAUACGAUCUACGGAUGAAAGCAGGGGACCGCAAUGCCUUGCGCGGGCGGAGCGGCCGAUGGCAGAUUAGGUAGUUGGUGGGAUAAAAGCUUACCAAGCCGACGAUCUGUAGCUGGUCUGAGAGGAUGAUGAGCAACACUGGGACUGAGACACGGCCCAGACUCCUACGGGAGGCAGCAGUGGGGAAUUUUGGACAAUGGGCGCAAGCCUGAUCCAGCCAUGCCGCGUGCAGGAUGAAGGCCUUCGGGUUGUAAACUGAUUUUGUACGGAACGAAAAGCCUUCUUUUAAUACAGGAGGGUCAUGACGGUACCGGAAGAAUAAGCACCGGCUAACUACGUG